AGACGGGUACACAAAACUUGAAGAUCGAAGAAAUGCUCUUCGUAAAGGUCUCAACAUUUAUGAGGUACAAGUCGCCAAAAUGCAAGCAGAAAAUUUGUCUCUCAGGAAAGAUCUUGAGGAUGAGAAAGUUAGGGCAAACAAUGAAAAGGAGGAAAAAAUAAAGGAAUCUGCUUUAAGGGUUUCUUUAGAGAAUGAAGUUGCAGGGUUGAAGAAUGAGAUUUUCUCCUUGAAGAAAAAACUGGUUGCUGAUGAUGGAGGUAGAGAAAUUAGAGAGCUUAAGGAGAAUCUCUCUGAGAGGGAAACCAAGGUAAAUGAACUGAAGGAGCUUGUUGAGAAAGAACAAGUGAGAGCAG
rnacentral:misc_RNA from 1 species